CUGUCAACUAGUCACUUCAGCACAGCUAAGAAGAAAAAUACCGUGGAACCUGCUAAUGGGGAUUGACUCACCGGGGGUCGAUUUAGCGGGUCUUUAGAUCAACCGCCGAUUGCUCGCCCAUUGACUCUGAUACUCCACCAGAGCAAGAAGCAUAAGGAGGAGAUGUGAUCCAGCAGGAUUAGAGCAGUGGACUCAGGAAUCAGGACUCCUAGAAUUUUUACCAUGGACUCAUAGGACCUUAGGCAAGUUACAGGACUUUCUGUCCAAGGGGGGCUCC